rnacentral:rRNA from 1 species
GGCCUAACACAUGCAAGUCGAACGAUACCUUCCAGCUUGCUGGAGGGAAAAGUGGCGCACGGGUGCGUAACGCGUAUGCAACCUACCUUAAUCUGGGGGAUAGCCCGGAGAAAUCCGGAUUAAUACCGCAUAAAGUCACAGGAUGGCAUUAUCCAAUGAUCAAACAUUUAUGGGAUUGAGAUGGGCAUGCGUGUCAUUAGCUAGUUGGCGGGGUAACGGCCCACCAAGGCGACGAUGACUAGGGGAUCUGAGAGGAUGGCCCCCCACACUGGUACUGAGACACGGACCAGACUCCUACGGGAGGCAGCAGUAAGGAAUAUUGGUCAAUGGAGGCAACUCUGAACCAGCCAUGCCGCGUGCAGGAAGACUGCCCUAUGGGUUGUAAACUGCUUUUAUCCGGGAAUAAACCUAUCUACGUGUAGAUAGCUGAAUGUACCGGAAGAAUAAGGAUCAGCUAACUCCGUGCCAGCAGCCGCGGUAAUACGGAGGAUCCAAGCGUUAUCCGGAUUUAUUGGGUUUAAAGGGUGCGUAGGCGGCCUGUUAAGUCAGGGGUGAAAGACGGUAGCUCAACUAUCGCAGUGCCCUUGAUACUGAUGGGCUUGAAUGGACUAGAGGUAGGCGGAAUGAGACAAGUAGCGGUGAAAUGCAUAGAUAUGUCUCAGAACACCGAUUGCGAAGGCAGCUUACUAUGGUCCUAUUGACGCUGAGGCACGAAAGCGUGGGGAUCAAACAGGAUUAGAUACCCUGGUAGUCCACGCCCUAAACGAUGAACACUCGCUGUUGGCGAUACACAGUCAGCGGCUAAGCGAAAGCGUUAAGUGUUCCACCUGGGGGAGUACGGUCGCAAGAUUGAAACUCAAAGGAAAUUGACGGGGGCCCGCACAAGC